rnacentral:piRNA from 1 species
UGAAAAGAUGCAGCUAGGCGAUUUUAAAAGG